CCUACGGGGGGCAGCAGUGGGGAAUAUUGCACAAUGGGCGCAAGCCUGAUGCAGCCAUGCCGCGUGUGUGAAGAAGGCCUUCGGGUUGUAAAGCACUUUCAGCGGGGAGGAAGGCGGUGAGGUUAAUAACCUCAUCGAUUGACGUUACCCGCAGAAGAAGCACCGGCUAACUCCGUGCCAGCAGCCGCGGUAAUACGGAGGGUGCAAGCGUUAAUCGGAAUUACUGGGCGUAAAGCGCACGCAGGCGGUCUGUCAAGUCGGAUGUGAAAUCCCCGGGCUCAACCUGGGAACUGCAUUCGAAACUGGCAGGCUAGAGUCUUGUAGAGGGGGGUAGAAUUCCAGGUGUAGCGGUGAAAUGCGUAGAGAUCUGGAGGAAUACCGGUGGCGAAGGCGGCCCCCUGGACAAAGACUGACGCUCAGGUGCGAAAGCGUGGGGAGCAAACAGGAUUAGUACCCGUGUAGUC
rnacentral:rRNA from 1 species